rnacentral:tRNA from 1 species
GGGAUUGUGGCUCAGUGAUACAGCACUCACCUAUCAUGUGUGAGGCCCUGGGUUCGAUUCUCAGCACCA